CCUACGGGUGACAGCAGUGGGGAAUAUUGCACAAUGGGGGGAACCCUGAUGCAGCGACGCCGCGUGAGCGAGGAAGUACUUCGGUAUGUAAAGCUCUAUCAGCAGGGACGAAAAAAGACGGUACCUGACUAAGAAGCCCCGGCUAACUACGUGCCAGCAGCCCCGGUAAUACGGAGGGGGCAAGCGUGAUCCGGAUUUACUGGGUUUAAAGGGAGCGUAGACGGUGAGGCAAGCCAGAAGUGAAAGGGCAGGGCUAAACCCUGGAAAUGCUUUUGUAACUGUGGGGCUAGAGUGGAGGAGAGGUAAGCGGAAUUCGGGGUGUAGCGGUGAAAUGCGUAGAUAUUAGGAGGAACACCAGUGGCGAAGGCGGCUUACUGGACUGUAACUGACGUUGAGGCUCGAAAGCGUGGGGAGCAAACAGGAUUAGAUACCCUAGUAGUC
rnacentral:rRNA from 1 species